AAAUGCAAUGGCAGCCCUGUUGGUGACAGUAGAGGGCUGAUUUCCUGUAUUGUUUGUGGGGAGAAAGUAAAAUUUUGGUUACAAAAUUCUGAAACGGAUUGCUGAGCUGUACCGACUCGUUCCAACAGUUCGUCUAAAUAGUUCACGUCAUUUUGAGUUAGAGCAAUUAAACAUUAGAGAGCAAAAUGAUUAUAGACCUGUAAAAGAGUUUCACUUUGAAGAUGCGCAGUUGGAGUUGAAGAGCGAUCUGCCGGAAGAGAACUGUUAAAACAGAAAGCAGUUCCUAUGAAUUCGAAGUUCUAAAUCCUUCGAAAUGGAAAUAACCACAAGCAAGGAUAGUAAUAAAAAAAGGUAUUAGUGUAAGUAAUACUUUCAUCAGUGUCUCACAGAUUACAAGUAUCCAUGUUUUUGAUAGAACACAAUUGCAAUCUUUAAUUCUUGACUGUGGAAUGUUUGGUAGGCGUAUUAAGUGCUCUGAAUUAAACGGUGUCGUCCCUGUUUAAAACACAACUGUAAUGUAAUUUUAGUUUAUGUUGAUCAUCAGUUCUGUCCUGUCUUGCAGUUUUUCGACGACAUGGAUUUGUGCAUUUUGUUGCUUCGUUUUGUAGUCAGUGAAAGAUAGCAAGCGUCUCACCAGACAUACCAAGUCGUCAUAUUAUGCAUGUACUGUAGGUGCAAGUGCAUUUUUGUGGUUGGGAAUGUUGUAAAGAAACAAACCAUGAUUUCACUGCGUAGUGCAUGCGAGUGGUUAAACUGUCAUUGAUAAAAUGAAAUACUUGCGACUAUAAUGUUUAAGAUCAGCUGACAUACAGAUCUGUUAAAGGCAACGUAGGCCAGGUUCUGGUAAAAUGACUGCUGAAAGCCCUGCUUAAACUUUGAUCGUUAUUUGAACAUUUUUAAUUGUGAAAUAAUAAGAGUUGUGUAACCACAUUUUCAGCCAUCAACCCGUUUGAGGAAGAAACGACAGAAUGCAACAAGAGACCUGCACUAAAUUACAACUGCAGAUAUUGUAAAUUUCCAGUUCCUGGAUAAGGGACUGAAAGCAUUUGAGAUUUUAUAGUGAUUUCACUGUUAUCAUUAAUAAGAAACAACUGCAAGAUAUCUACGGUAAAUGUUAUUUACGUGGUAUUCAAUUUAAUGGAAGGCCUAUAUAAACCAUUUUUCUCUUUUCACAGGUGAUGAUGAUGAUGAAAGAGAAGGUAGUUGCAAUGAACAGCAAGUUGAACACAUUUUUACAUUCAGACCAUAUCCUUAUAAGCAACCAAAUGAAAAUAUGAUUUGCUCUGUAAGUGAAAUUUUUUGGUGGUACAAAUGAUUAUGAAUUACAGAGGAGCACAAGUUACCCACUGCUGUUGGCAAGAACACUGUGGAAGAGGACUGAAGCCAGAUACAGAAUUUGUUGAAGGUGAUAAAGGUUUAAAAAGCUAUAUAUGCGAUUUGUAUGUGAAUAGUUAAGCAGAGCUGCAGCUUCCGGGCCAUGCUUUGGUUUUUGUGGUGUGAGCUUCAUGGUAACUAGCCUGUGAAUCAGCCCAACAAAUGAAUUAUUUUUCAUCUUAAAACCAUGUUUAGAGUUUUUUGAACAAAACUGUGGUUACGAGAAGUGAACUGGACAUCAGGAAGUUGUUUAAAAAUCAAUCUGGACAUUUCUAGUGUCUGUCCAUCCUAACAUUCUCGCUGCCUGCAUACGUCAGUGUUGUCAGGCUCCUGUUCAAAAAACACAUACUACGCAACUGUUUAUCCAGUUUGAAUCCCUGUUAGAAGAUACCAUUUGCGAUGCUCACAUUAUUGCUGUGUCUUUCUUUGGUCUUAGAUUGUUGCUUUCCUUACAAAGUUUUCAUGUAGUUUGCAUUGCUGCUAUUUCGUCAUUCCCAACAUUUAUUAUGUGUAUAAAUUGUUUCAGUGUGAGGUAGUUAACAGGUGUGAUAUUCAACAGUUGGUAGGAAUACAAUUCGGAUUUAAUAUGAGAUGGGCACUGUUGGUUGCAACUGAUUCCAAGAGAGUGGCUAAAGCUGAAAGGUGGGAUCUUGGGGCAACUAAAGAUACCAGAAUAACAAGGAGAAAUAAGAAGAACAAGUGAGAAGAUGAGGAACACUGAAACCAAGAAAAUUAUGCAACUACGGAGCAUAUUGUGAUCAAAAGAGCUGAGUAUAUCAGUUUAUGUUAAAUUUUCCAAGAAUUAAAUUCUCUUAAGUUUUUAUUCAUUUAAUUACGUGUGAAUUGACCAGUUAGGAGCGUACUACAAUUUCAUUUCUUCUCUGUAUGAUGUUUCUUCUUUCUCCAGUACUCCUGUAUAUGGACGCUGUGCUGUUGCUUCUGUUCAUCCGUCCAGGCUUUUCUAGUCUUGGUUCUUCUUUUCAUGUGUAGUCAUGGUCCACAAUGUAUUCUUAUUUUACAUCUGAAACUUUCUGAAUGUUAACAUUUCCAGAUCUUUACAAGCUUCCUCAAUCCUUAUCGUUGUUGUGUUCUUGUUCCACAGGUAGUCGAAUAUCCUUUUGGAUAGUCUGGUUUUGUCCAUUCAGUACAAGUGUCCUAGAGAUGAUUACCUCCGCUAGUUCGUGGUCUCUGAAAUUUUCUCCACCUUAUUGUAGAUUUCAUUGUUGCUCCGAAAUUUCCAACCAGUUACAACCUGAGUUUGACCCAUGAUUUUCCCAUAAUACUCAUCUUCCUAGUAAGUCCAGCUUUUCCAACUUCUAAUUCAUUGAGGCAUUCACUGGCAUACAGGUACACUGUUUUUGCCACAACAUUGUAGUGCUGUAUUGUGACAUUCCAAGAGAUGCACUUUUUGUUUUAAAAGUUUGUAGUAAAUCCGUAAGCUCUCUCCAUUUGUGAGCUCUGUUGCCCCACAGAGGCUUUCUCCAGUCCGUUGUCUUGUAUGGCUUCACCGAGGUAUUUGAUUUUUUUACCCUCUCAAUCCACCCAAUCUCCGUUCCAAGGAAUUGUGGUCCAUGUUUCUCACUUGUCAUGAAUUUGGUCUUCUCUUUAGAGAUCCUAAGUCAUGGCAUGACAUGCCGGGACUGAUUAGCUGAACAGUUCGCUUUCUUAGGAAUUCACACACACUUCCUGUUAUGCAAGUCAUCCUCUCUAGUGGGUUAGUGUGUGUGGCUGCUUCUCCUAAGUUCUCUGAAAGUACCACAAAAUCAUCAGUGAAAGCCAAGCAGUUUAUUUUGAUUCCUCCUGAUAUUCUUCCUAGACAGAUUGGGCCAAUCCCUUGAUUUUCUAGUUUAGAAUUCCAAAUUCUCACAAUCUACUCCAGGAUACAGUUAAACAGUAUUGGUGAUGAUCCAUCGCCCAGUCACACACCUCCCAUAAACUUCACUUUGGAAGUUGUGCCUUUUAAGAUGUAUGUGAUAAUGUUUGCCAGCUUGUUACUGACCCCAAAUUCCGUGAUGAUUCUAUCUAGAGUCUCUCUAUCCACAGAGUCAGUUCUAUUCAGCAGUGUCCUUGGGAGGAUCUUGUCGAUGACUGGGUGUAGUGACACGUCUCUGUAGUUGUUUACACCUUUCUUAUGGAGUGGGUAGAUCAGUGCUGUUUUCCAUUCAUCUGGCAGUUUUACUAUCUCCCAUAUUUGCUGAAAGAUUUGGUGUAGGUCAUCUAGGAUUUCUGUUCUGCCCAUUUCAGCAUUUCUGCUGAUAUCGGGUCUUCUCCACUGGCCUUGUUGUUUUUGAGACUUUUUAGGGCUUCCUUUGUUUCUUCUUCUGUUGGUGGUAUGUCAUCCUCUAGGUUUUGAGGAGGAGCCAGAAGUUCCAGUUUGGUGGUUGGAGGUGGGCAGUUGAGCAGCUUGUAGAAGUGUCUGAUUAGUAGAGUGCAAUUUUCUUAAUUAUUCAAUCCAAUUUUGCCCUGUUCCUUUUUGAAGCUUACACUUGGGACCUGGUAUCCUUCGAUCCGAUCUUUGAAAGUUUGAAAAAGUCUCUGUAGUUAUUUUUUGUGUAGCUGUCCUGGAGAUUUUCUAAUUUUGAUUUCUCUAAUGUUUGUUUGACUCUGCAGAAUAUCCUUGCUGUUUCUUUUCUUUGUUUUCUGAAUUGUUCCAUGUGUUGACUCUCACUUCGUGUGCUUUCUCACAUUUUCAUUCCACCAGAUUAACCGUUUUGUCUUUGCCUGACAGUGUUUUCUUUGCGGCAUCGUUGAUCUCUGCACGGAGUUAUUGCCAGGGGUCUAUUCUAGAUGAGCGGAUUUCUUCUCUGAAGUUAUUUGGAAUGUCCCGGUUGAUGUUCAUUGUGUUGGUGUUAUACUUGAUCACUAUGGGUGGCUCUGUUUCAUUUUGAUGCGAGAAAAUGCAUUUUAACUUUGCAUAGGUAGUGAUCAGUGUCGAAUUCACUGUCUGAUUACUUUAACAUUCAUCACUUGUCUAGUGUUUUUCCUGGUUAUUGCUACAUGGCCUAAUUGGAAUUCUCCUAGGUUGGGAUUUGGAGAUACCCAAGUCUUUGCUUUUCUUGGGACUUUCCGAAAAUGAGUUGACAUUACCUACAACUGGAAAGUUUUGCAGCAUCCAGUGAGCAUUUCUACUGUCUGAUUUGUUCUUCCGUGUGCUGAGCAGCCUCUUGCUAUGUCUUUAUAUUUUCUUUCUCUCUCGGUCUGUACGUUGAAGAUACCUAGGAUUUUCUACGGUUCAGAGGUAUCCUGGAGAUUUGUUUCCAGUAGAUCCCAGAAGUCGUCUACUGUUUGGAGGUUGUUCUUGUUGUCUUUGUUAAUUGGAUUGUGGCAGUAUAUGGGAGUAUAUUUCUUGUUUAUGCACUUGAUUGUCAGUAUGGAUAACCUUCCAGAUUUUCAUGAGAAGCUCAUGACGUUGUUAACUAUGGUUCUGUUUAGGUAAAAGGUACUACCCAGGAGAGGGGUGUUAAUCAGUAUCUUUAUUGCUGGCUUUCCUUUGAAUGCUCUACGGUGUUGUGAGUCCACAAUGAGCUCAUCUAGGAAUCUGGCCUCUAAUACAGCCAACAUGUGAAUUUCGCAUUUAUACAGGAGCUUUUCCAAUUUUUAUUGUUUUCCGACUCGGAGGAGUGAAUUUACAUACGGUCCCAGUGUAGUAUUUCUUUCCGAAUUUCGGUUUGGAAGGUAAUAGGUACUAUUCACUGGAGAGAAGACUGGACACUAAUGUACUAUCUACUGGAAGGAAGAUAUGUACUGAUUAAUUAUAAAACAGUGGCCUUAAUUUUGGUUAUCAGGUGUAAAUAUUAGUAGAAUAAAACUUGUUCCUGAAAUGACAGGAGCGUGGGCUGCUCCCUUGAUAGAUAUGUCAUUAAGGUGUCCAUAUAGUUUCAAGCACCUAAGUAAAUUAGUCAGUGCAUAGAUUCCAAGUAAUGAUUGGCAUAUACGAAUGUAAUUUUAUGAUCUUCACAAAAAAUUGUAAUAAAGGAAAUGAGUGAACUAAUGUUA